rnacentral:piRNA from 1 species
CACAGAUGCUAGUCUUGAAGGUAGAG